rnacentral:rRNA from 1 species
AGUGAACGCUGGCGGCAGGCCUAACACAUGCAAGUCGAACGGCAGCACGAUAAGCUUUUGCUUUUAACGUUGGCGAGUGGCGGAUGGGUGACAAGUAGAUAAGAUUCCUCUAUUACGGGGGGGACUACGUAGAAACGCUUACAAUAACACCGCAUAUGUUCAACGGCAUAAAGCAGUAGAUCUUCGCACCUUUCCCGACUGUUUUAGCUGAUGCCGCAUUAGCUAGUCGGCGGGGUAAGGGCCCACCAAGGCGACGAUCCGUAGCUGGUCUGAGAGGAUGAUCAGCCACACUGGAACUGAGACACGGUCCAGACUCCUACGGGAGGCAGCAGUAGGGAAUAUUGCACAAUGGGCGCAAGCCUGAUGCAGCCAUGCCGCGUGGGUGAAGAAGGCCUUCGGAUUGUAAAACCCUUUUAUUGGGGAAGAAAAGAUGAAUGUGAAUACAUGGACGUCUUGACGGUACCCAAAGAAAAAGCACCGGCUAACUACGUG